rnacentral:tRNA from 1 species
GGAGGCGACUGGUGCCUGGUGGUGCCCCCGGUCUUCAAAGCCGGUGUGGGGCAUGUAAAUGUCUCGGGUAGGUUCGAUUCCUAUUCGCUUCCGCCA